GGAGUAGAGGCUCCUCAGUCUUCACUUGAGAUCAGCCAUCGAGCAGAGAGAGGAAGACAAGACACACGACCUGAUCAACCUACAGCACCAUGAAAACCACCUGCAUAUGCCUGGCUCUCGCACUGGUCAUGAUGAUGGCCGUCACCUCUGAGGCUUUCAUUUAUAGCCUCGAAACAACUCCAAAGGGCUGCUGUUUUCAAUUCCUUGAUGCACACAUAAAUAUCCCAAAGGCUGAAAUUAUUAAAGUUGACAAAACUGAUUCUAAGUGCCCCAAACCAGCAAUUAUUGUGACCGUUCCAGGCAGAGUGCUCUGCGUGAGCCCGACCUCCAGACUUGGCAAAAGACUUGCUGUCCAAGUGAAAAAGACUGACUGAUAUAAUAAGCUCUAUUUCUUAAGAGACAUUUAGACUGAAAUCAGAAGAGAGAACUUGUUUUUUUUUUAAUCUGUUCAUGUUUGUUUUAUUAUAUUGUCUGUGUUUUGAUUAUUUUCUAUGUUCUCUAUGAAUUUUGUACACAUAUAUUUUGUUAUCAAUAAAUUUGGUUCAUGCCAUCUGA